ACAAAAGCAUUUGGCACCGCCAAGCUAACGCAUUUGUGCCUAUCAAAUAAACGAAAUGAAUAAAAAAAAAUAUAUAUAUGCUUUUUAUUACAGAAGCUUUCAUCGAUUGUAUAGGAUAUACACUGAUUAGUUACACGCAAAAGAAGGAUGCAACUAGUUAAUUCCCAGCCGCGAUACGUUGGUUGCACUAAUUCAGUACAUAACGUCCUCUUUGUGUCACAUGUAUUAUCGCUGUUUGGCUCCGGUUACGGUCUCAGUUCCACUGCUCGUUUAUUAUGUGGCCUUGAGAUUCAAUACAAACUUGCGGUAUUUGAACAACAGAGCAGCGUGUCGAUUCACAUAUUUAUGGCGAUGAAUGGCUUCACUAUCAUCGAUUCUUCGUUGAAGUUGAGGAACGGACAACACAACCCGGUUAUCCGUGCAAGGCAGUAACAAUGCAUCGUAAUACAAAUAGGAUUUUUUUAAAUAACCUUUUCCAUAAAUUAUUUUCUUCUAGGUGUGAACGUUGAACACAGAACAAUACCUCAGAGAUGACAUUUUUCUUCCAAGAAACUUGAUUCACCAGAGUUUUAACCAUCACACUACUAUGUUUAGUACAAUUGCAUAAACUAAAGGUUGAAAACGGUGUUAAAUACAAGAUCGCUCCUGAGAAACUGACACGUACAGCAUGCUUGCAGCAUGCGGUUCAAGGAGCCCUCUUAUACCGCAGUUUUGUGCCCUUCAACCAGAGGAUUGUUGUAAGCAAAAACCCUUUUGCGCUGAAAUCUGACAAUAACGUUCAGUUGAAGAUUAGGCCCGGGUCACUGAAAUGAGCAAUGAUUUGCAGCAUUUGGGCCAGUAGCCGUUCGAGCAAAUUUACAGCUUACACAUCGUUGUCUCUGCACUGUAUCUGCUAUCAGAAAUUUGCUGAGUCUCAGGCUGGUCUCUGAAAUAUUAACGAUAACCGAUCUCAAUAUCGAUGUGCCUCAAAUAGCUUUAUGCUCGCCUUUGAGUUUACCCAAAGUUAUCAUAAGCUUCGCACUAAUGUGUUCAGCUUUUUCCUAACAAUGGCCAUAAGUGGUUGGGUCAUAAAACACCUUUGUACAACUGAGUACGGGUUUGGUACAAGUACACUGAGCACCAAACAGACCAACUGAAAACGUACACCAGGCUACACCACGAACUACCCUUGAAAGUCAUACACUUGCAUCAAAGGGAAUCUCGUUAGAUAUAAAAUAACAGAAACAUCGUAACACUCUACCGUCAUUGCCUGCCGAAAAUGUUUACUGAUUUGACGGAGUUCGAGGAUUAAGCAUUAAGCAAAUCGUUGUUGGCUGUGGCGACGCGGCUGUGCGGUAUACACUACAGGAUAAUCAAUACUCUAUACCGGCGACAUCGACAUGAGCAGCUCAAUCCCCGGGUGCGACGGUUCCGACCGAUAACUCGCCAUUGGAAGCUCCUUAGGUUGAAAACGGUGUUAAAUACAAGAUCGCUCCUGAGAAACUGACACGUACAGCAUGCUUGCAGCAUGCGGUUCAAGGAGCCCUCUUAUACCGCAGUUUUGUGCCCUUCAACCAGAGGAUUGUUGUAAGCAAAAACCCUUUUGCGCUGAAAUCUGACAAUAACGUUCAGUUGAAGAUUAGGCCCGGGUCACUGAAAUGAGCAAUGAUUUGCAGCAUUUGGGCCAGUAGCCGUUCGAGCAAAUUUACAGCUUACACAUCGUUGUCUCUGCACUGUAUCUGCUAUCAGAAAUUUGCUGAGUCUCAGGCUGGUCUCUGAAAUAUUAACGAUAACCGAUCUCAAUAUCGAUGUGCCUCAAAUAGCUUUAUGCUCGCCUUUGAGUUUACCCAAAGUUAUCAUAAGCUUCGCACUAAUGUGUUCAGCUUUUUCCUAACAAUGGCCAUAAGUGGUUGGGUCAUAAAACACCUUUGUACAACUGAGUACGGGUUUGGUACAAGUACACUGAGCACCAAACAGACCAACUGAAAACGUACACCAGGCUACACCACGAACUACCCUUGAAAGUCAUACACUUGCAUCAAAGGGAAUCUCGUUAGAUAUAAAAUAACAGAAACAUCGUAACACUCUACCGUCAUUGCCUGCCGAAAAUGUUUACUGAUUUGACGGAGUUCGAGGAUUAAGCAUUAAGCAAAUCGUUGUUGGCUGUGGCGACGCGGCUGUGCGGUAUACACUACAGGAUAAUCAAUACUCUAUACCGGCGACAUCGACAUGAGCAGCUCAAUCCCCGGGUGCGACGGUUCCGACCGAUAACUCGCCAUUGGAAGCUCCUAGGAACGUCAACUGUUCAAAAGUAAAUUUAAACAA